GACGAACGCUGGCGGCGUGCCUAAUACAUGCAAGUCGAACGAAGCUUUUUUAACUGGUGCUUGCACCGACUUAAACAACUGAGUGGCGAACGGGUGAGUAACACGUGGGUAACCUGCCCCAAAGCGGGGGAUAACAUUUGGAAACAGAUACUAAUACCGCAUAACCACAGAAACCACAUGGUUUCUGUGUCAAAGAUGGUUUCGGCUAUCACUUUGGGAUGGACCCGCGGCGUAUUAGCUAGUUGGUAAGGUAAUGGCUUACCAAGGCAAUGAUACGUAGCCGAACUGAGAGGUUGAUCGGCCACAUUGGGACUGAGACACGGCCCAAACUCCUACGGGAGGCAGCAGUAGGGAAUCUUCCACAAUGGACGAAAGUCUGAUGGAGCAACGCCGCGUGAGUGAAGAAGGUUUUCGGAUCGUAAGACUCUGUUGUCAGAGAAGAACGUGUGCGAGAGUAACUGUUCGUGCAGUGACGGUAUUUAACCAGAAAGCCACGGCUAACUACGUGCCAGCCGCCGCAGUAA
rnacentral:rRNA from 1 species